AUAAAUCACUAAGAGACCUCUGGUGUAAUCAGCAACUUUACUAUGUUUAUUAAAGUCACAUAAAUGGUUUGACAAAAGUGCACAAUAGAAUGACAUCACUGGCUUGUUAUAGAUCACAGUGAAUUACUAGAAUACAAAAAUGUAGCCCCUCUACAUGAGGUCUGCAGAACGGGGUGAGUAUUAUAAAGGGCAGGAUCUUUGCAAGGGGUUCGGCCAGUCAGGUUCUAUUCCCCCACCACGUACCUCUGAAAAGACUGGUUAGGAAAGCUGAGGCUUUUACCCUCAUCUCUUCUCCUCUACCAAUUACUAAGCAACCACGAAAAGGCCAUGCACAAAUUUUACAACCUGAUAAAGAAUAGUAGAUACAAAAACCUGUUCACUGCACCACUUGGCAAUCUUGCAUCUUCGCUCCUUCAUUGUUCUGAUUAGGUCAUGUGUCACACGACUCACCCCUAGAGGAGCUGUUUUUAGCAACAUUCACCCCUGCACACACAUAAAGAUAUGCCCCAUAACCAUCAAGUCACUGUCCUUUCCCUGUACAGUAACACAAAGGUACACUCCACAAACCUAGGACCAGACCACAUUUCUUUACAGUGUAAAAAAUGAACAUAUCACCAUUAUCAGGGCAGUAUUUGUUUCCAGUUCUAUAUUUGGGGGAGGGGACAUGGUACAACCCAGGCCAUCUGAAGGUUUGGGUGAGCCUACAAGUGUCUCCCAAAGCCCUGCAAGGUGGUGACACACAGAAUGAGGCGUGUACUGCUCUCAAGAGAUGACCUGCAGAACAAACCUGUAGGAAUGAACACAGCUUAAAAUCUUGUGGACUAAAUAUUUUAAUAGAGCAGAAGGCAGAGUGUUGUGUUCUUUACCCCCUUUAAUGUUACAGUAUGGUCAGUGAGAAACAAUAUUCAUCUGUGGACUCACAUAGCUGUCUGGCCUGAAAAGGAACAGAAAAUCUACCUUAAGAGCCAGGCCUUGACUUCUGUCUACUCACUAGUUGGGCUGCUUCUAAACCCAGAAACUGUAACCCAAGGUCCACCAACUCACUCCUCAUGCUGCCCACUUCAAAAAAAAAUACAUAGAAAUUCUCCUGCUUGCCAGGGAUUUAACUCAGUGGUGCCGCCUGGCUCGAAAGCACAAGGUCCCAAGUUCCAUCCCCAGUACCAAAAAAAUAAAAAAAAAAUUCUCCUCCUGAAUAGUCUAAAGUAGUCUUAUUCAGAGUAGCUGCCUCAAUUAUGGCAACUGAGGGAUGGAUCUGCUGCCCACUCCUUGACUUAUGGACUUAUGUAAAUGCAAAUUCAAUUUCAACUCCAUUAAAAGCAGAAAACCCAGUCUCACAGGAUUUGUAAAUGAAAGCAUCCACGUGAGCCUGUAGUUACUCCAGAUUUACAUGACAAUUCCCAAGCAGGACAGAGAAGUCUUGAGCAAAUCUGUAACACUAUCAAGGAAGAGUUACAAUUCAAAGCAUAAUUCUAUCAGUAAUAAACAGCAAAGGUAAAAGUGCCUACAAAAUGAAGACAGCUUGGCGUUCUCAGUGAGCUGAGAUACAGAACUAUCUCGCCUUUCUUACCUAUUUAUUUUCCUUUUAAAAAAUUACGUUUAUGAAGGAUUUGGCUAACAU
ensembl:lncRNA